GUGAGGAAUAUUGGUCAAUGGGCGCGAGCCUGAACCAGCCAAGUAGCGUGAAGGAUGAAGGUCCUAUGGAUUGUAAACUUCUUUUAUAGCAGAAUAAAGUGACCCACGUGUGGGUUUUUGUAUGUAUGCUAUGAAUAAGGAUCGGCUAACUCCGUGCCAGCAGCCGCGGUAAUACGGAGGAUCCGAGCGUUAUCCGGAUUUAUUGGGUUUAAAGGGUGCGUAGGCGGAAAGAUAAGUCAGCCUGUGAAAGUUUGCGGCUCAACCGUAAAAUUGCAGUUGAUACUGUUUUUCUUGAGUGUACAUAAGGUAGGCGGAAUUCGUGGUGUAGCGGUGAAAUGCAUAGAUAUCACGCAGAACUCCGAUUGCGAAGGCAGCUUACUAAGCUACAACUGACACUGAAGCACGAAAGCGUGGGGAUCAAACA
rnacentral:rRNA from 1 species